UGAUGAAUCUGCUAAGUCAGAGAAGGAUC
rnacentral:piRNA from 1 species